rnacentral:rRNA from 1 species
CCUACGGGCGGCAGCAGUGGGGGAUAUUGCACAAUGGGGGGAACCCUGAUGCAGCGACGCCGCGUGGGUGAAGAAGCGCCUCGGCGCGUAAAGCCCUGUCAGCAGGGAAGAAAAUGACGGUACCUGAAGAAGAAGCCACGGCUAACUACGUGCCAGCAGCCGCGGUAAUACGUAGGGGGCCAGCGUUAUCCGGAUUUACUGGGUGUAGCGGGAGCGCAGACGGCGAUGCAAGACAGGAGUGAAAGCCCGGGGCUCAACCCCGGGACUGCUCGUGGAACUGCGUGGCUGGAGUGCAGGAGGGGCAGGUGGAAUUCCUGGUGUAGCGGUGAAAUGCGUAGAUAUCAGGAGGAACACCGGUGGCGAAGGCGGCCUGCUGGACUGCAACUGACGUUGAGGCCCGAAAGCGUGGGGAGCAAACAGGAUUAGAUACCCCUGUAGUC